GAUGAGAACGUAGCGAAAUGCGAUAAGUAAUGUGAAUUGCAGAAUUCAGUGAAUCAUCGAAUCUUUGAACGCACAUUGCGCCCGCCAGCACUCUGGCGGGCAUGCCUGUCCGAGCGUCAUUUCAACCCUCGCGCCGUCCCUCCAGGGGGCUCGGCGCGGUGUUGGGGGACACGGCCCCGGCCGCCCCCGAAAUGCAGUGGCGACCCCGCCGCGGCCCCUCCAGCGCAGUAAGCACGCUCGCUACGGGAGGCCCGGUGGACGCGUCCGCCGUAAAACGCCCAACUCUUCAGAAGUUGACCUCGGAUCAGGUAGGGAUACCCGCUGAACUUAAGCAUAUCAAUAAGCGGAGGA
rnacentral:misc_RNA from 1 species